rnacentral:lncRNA from 1 species
UUUUUGAUGUUAAAUUAUAUUUUGAGCAUAAAAUUUUAUUACUUAAAAUUUAUUGAUUUUCAAUUUUAACAUUUUAUUUUUCAUUUAUAUAUUUCACGCGUUAUUAUUUUUUUCGCAUGUGUAAUUAAAAGUAAUAUAUUUUUAAAUUUUAAGUUACGUAUUAAUCUUUUGUCUUUUUUUUUUUUUUUCUUUCAUUUUUAAGAUUUAAUUUUUGUAUAAAUAUAAGCAAAAUGAAAUCAUUCAUUUGUUACGUUACUACUUUAAUUUUGUUAAUUUUUCAAACAAGAGCUAUACAGCUUAACAGCGUAAGUUCCUUCCCUAAUUCCUAUGUUGAAAUUGCUGAUAAAGUAUCCACAUCAGUUUCAACAGAAUGGAUAAACCAUUUAGAUUCAUUCAUAGAUCUUGUAUCUACAAAAAUAGUUGAUAACAUUGAAAACGAAAUAUCAAAUACUAAUAAUGAUAAAUUGACCCAUUUGGUAGCUCUUCUUGAGAAUGACGCAGACCUUUUCGAUGUUGAUUCUUACCAAAAUAAAGACUUGUCAUUUAUUGAGAACGAGUUUUUCUCAAAGCUAAAGGAAAAAUUUAAUAACAGUAAAUUCGGUCAACAUAUUAAAAAAUUGAAAGCAAAUGCUAAGGAAAAACUGAAAGAACUUUAUGCGAAACAUAAAGAUAAACUGAAAAGAUUUUUCAAAAUUAUGCUUACUACGUUAGUUAUACCAGUAGCUAUUAAAUAUAUUAAAAAACACUUGAAUCAAUGGAGGCAGAAAACCUUAGAUGCCACAAAAAAAUUAGAUCCUGAUACAAAAAAAAUCACAGUACCAGUUAUCACUGCUAUAUAUGAUAAAUUUGGAGAACAAAUCGAUAAAUAUGCUGAAAAAAAUGGUGUCAAUUUUGAAAAAGAAAAUGAAGGACUUAAAGAAUUAUUACAGGAUAAACAAGAUAUUGAAAAAAUCGAAAGACAAGAAGCCCAAUUAUUAUAUACGAAGAAGUAGGAUUUAAAAUUUAAAAAGAUUUAAUAUACACAUGAAAAAAAAAAAGAAAAAAAAAAGGUCGGUUUAUAAGUGAAAUUAUAUUAUUUUUUUUCUUUUUUCUUUUUAUAGUAUUACUCUAUUAAUUACUAUAA